UUUUGUGACUGAGUGGCGGACGGGUGAGUAACGCGUGGGUAACCUGCCUUGUACAGGGGGAUAACAGUUGGAAACGGCUGCUAAUACCGCAUAAGCGCACGGCAUCGCAUGAUGCAGUGUGAAAAACUCCGGUGGUAUAAGAUGGACCCGCGUUGGAUUAGCUAGUUGGUGAGGUAACGGCCCACCAAGGCGACGAUCCAUAGCCGACCUGAGAGGGUGACCGGCCACAUUGGGACUGAGACACGGCCCAAACUCCUACGGGAGGCAGCAGUGGGGAAUAUUGCACAAUGGGCGAAAGCCUGAUGCAGCGACGCCGCGUGAAGGAUGAAGUAUUUCGGUAUGUAAACUUCUAUCAGCAGGGAAGAAAAUGACGGUACCUGACUAAGAAGCCCCGGCUAACUACGUGCCAGCAGCCGCGGUAAUACGUAGGGGGCAAGCGUUGUCCGGAAUUACUGGGUGUAAAGGGAGCGCAGGCGGACCGGCAAGUUGGAAGUGAAAACUAUGGGCUCAACCCAUAAAUUGCUUUCAAAACUGUUGGCCUUGAGUAGUGCAGAGGUAGGUGGAAUUCCCGGUGUAGCGGUGGAAUGCGUAGAUAUCGGGAGGAACACCAGUGGCGAAGGCGACCUACUGGGCACCAACUGACGCUGAGGCUCGAAAGCAUGGGUAGCAAACAGGAUUAGAUACCCUGGUAGUCCAUGCCGUAAACGAUGAUUACUAGGUGUUGGAGGAUUGACCCCUUCAGUGCCGCAGUUAACACAAUAAGUAAUCCACCUGGGGAGUACGACCGCAAGGUUGAAACUCAAAGGAAUUGACGGGGGCCCGCACAAGCAGUGGAGUAUGUGGUUUAAUUCGAAGCAACGCGAAGAACCUUACCAGGUCUUGACAUCCGAUGCAUAGCUUAGAGAUAAGUGAAGUCCUUCGGGACAUCGAGACAGGUGGUGCAUGGUUGUCGUCAGCUCGUGUCGUGAGAUGUUGGGUUAAGUCCCGCAACGAGCGCAACCCUUAUUGCCAGUUACUACGCAAGAGGACUCUGGCGAGACUGCCGUUGACAAAACGGAGGAAGGUGGGGAUGACGUCAAAUCAUCAUGCCCUUUAUGACCUGGGCUACACACGUACUACAAUGGCGUUUAACAAAGAGAAGCAAGACCGCGAGGUGGAGCAAAACUCAAAAACAACGUCUCAGUUCAGAUUGCAGGCUGCAACUCGCCUGCAUGAAGUCGGAAUUGCUAGUAAUCGCGGAUCAGCAUGCCGCGGUGAAUACGUUCCCGGGCCUUGCACUCACCGCCCGUCA
rnacentral:rRNA from 1 species